rnacentral:rRNA from 1 species
GAUGACCUUUGGCGGCGUGCUUAACACAUGCAAGUCGAACGAAGCACCUUGAUUUGAUUCUUCGGAUGAAGAUCUUGGUGACUGAGUGGCGGACGGGUGAGUAACGCGUGGGUAACCUGCCUCAUACGGGGGGAUAACAGUUAGAAAUGACUGCUAAUACCGCAUAAGACCACAGCACCGCAUGGUGCAGGGGUAAAAACUCCGGUGGUAUGAGAUGGACCCGCGUCUGAUUAGGUAGUUGGUGGGGUAACGGCCUACCAAGCCGACGAUCAGUAGCCGACCUGAGAGAGUGACCGGCCACAUUGGGACUGAGACACGGCCCAAACUCCUACGGGAGGCAGCAGUGGGGAAUAUUGCACAAUGGGGGAAACCCUGAUGCAGCGACGCCGCGUGAGCGAUGAAGUAUUUCGGUAUGUAAAGCUCUAUCAGCAGGGAAGAAAAUGACGGUACCUGACUAAGAAGCACCGGCUAAAUACGUGCCAGCAGCCGCGGUAAUACGUAUGGUGCAAGCGUUAUCCGGAUUUACUGGGUGUAAAGGGAGCGUAGACGGAGUGGCAAGUCUGAUGUGAAAACCCGGGGCUCAACCCCGGGACUGCAUUGGAAACUGUCAAUCUAGAGUACCGGAGAGGUAAGCGGAAUUCCUAGUGUAGCGGUGAAAUGCGUAGAUAUUAGGAGGAACACCAGUGGCGAAGGCGGCUUACUGGACGGUAACUGACGUUGAGGCUCGAAAGCGUGGGGAGCAAACAGGGUUAGAUACCCUGGUAGUCCACGCCGUAAACGAUGACUACUAGGUGUCGGGCAGCAAAGCUGUUCGGUGCCGCAGCAAACGCAAUAAGUAGUCCUC